rnacentral:tRNA from 13 species
GCGUCGGUGGUAUAACGGUUAGCAUAGCUGCCUUCCAAGCAGUUGACCCGGGUUCGACUCCCAGCCGACCGCA